UACAGAGGGGGCAAGCGUUAUUCGGAAUUAUUGGGCGUAAAGGGCGCGUAGGCGGCCUGGCAAGUGGAAGGUGAAAUCCCUCGGCUUAACCGAGGAACUGCCCUCCAAACUGCUUGGCUUGAGUCCGGGAGAGGUGAGUGGAAUUCCCAGUGUAGCGGUGAAAUGCGUAGAUAUUCGCAGGAACACCAGUGGCGAAGGCGGCUUACUGGUCCAUUACUGACGCUGAGGUGCGAAAGCGUGGGGAGCAAACAGGG
rnacentral:rRNA from 1 species